rnacentral:rRNA from 1 species
AUACGGAGGGUGCAAGCGUUAUCCGGAUUCACUGGGUUUAAAGGGUGUGUAGGCGGAUAUUUAAGUCAGUGGUGAAAUCUCCGGGCUCAACCCGGAAACUGCCAUUGAUACUAUUUAUCUUGAAUCUUGUUGAGGUAGGCGGAAUAUAUCAUGUAGCGGUGAAAUGCUUAGAUAUGAUAUAGAACACCGAUUGCGAAGGCAGCUUACUAAACAAGCAUUGACGCUGAGGCACGAAAGCGUGGGGAUC